rnacentral:rRNA from 1 species
AAGACAGGUGGUGCAUGGUUGUCGUCAGCUCGUGUCGUGAGAUGUUGGGUUAAGUCCCGCAACGAGCGCAACCCUUGCUAUUAGUUGCUAACAUUUAGGAUGAGCACUCUAAUGGGACUGCCCGUGACAAGCGGGAGGAAGUGGGAUGACGUCAAAUCAUCAUGCCCUUUAUGAUCUGGGCUACACACGUGCUACAAUGGUUGGUACAACGAGUUGCGAGUCGGUGACGGCGAGCUAAUCUCUUAAGGCCAAUCUCAGUUCGGAUUGUAGGCUGCAACUCGCCUACAUGAAGUCGGAAUCGCUAGUAAUCGCGGAUCAGCACGCCGCGGUGAAUACGUUCCCGGGCCUU